rnacentral:rRNA from 1 species
GACGAACCGAGCGAACGUUAUUCGGAAUCACUGGGCUUAAAGGGCGCGUAGGCGGGCGAUCAAGUCAGGGGUGAAAGCCCCCAGCUCAACUGGGGAAGUGCCCCUGAUACUGAUCGUCUCGAGGGAGAUAGGGGCGUGCGGAACUUCCGGUGGAGCGGUGAAAUGCGUAGAUAUCGGGAGGAACACCGGUGGCGAAAGCGGCGCGCUGGAUCUCUUCUGACGCUGAGGCGCGAAAGCCAGGGGAGCGAACGGG